rnacentral:rRNA from 1 species
CCGCCAGAGAACUACUAGUGAAAACUUAAAACUCAAAGGACUUGGCGGUGUCCCAUAUCGACCUAGAGGAGCCUGUCCUAUAAUCGAUACCCCCCGUUCCACCCGACCUUCACUCGCACAUUCAGCCUAUAUACCGCCGUCGACAGUCUACCCCAUGAGGGUCUUUUAGUAGACACAAUAACAACUUUUGCUAGUACGUCAGGUCAAGGUGUAGCAGAUGUCAAGGAAGCGAUUGGCUACAUUUUUUAUUUUUAAACAAACGAAAUGCAACAUGAAACAUUGCACGAAGGUGAAUUUAGCAGUAAAUU